UACAGAGGGUGCGAGCGUUAAUCGGAAUUACUGGGCGUAAAGCGUGCGUAGACGGUAGCGUAAGUCAGAUGUGAAAGCCCCGGGCUCAACCUGGGAAUUGCAUUUGAGACUGCUCUGCUCGGGUGCGGAAGAGGGAAGCGGAAUUUCCGGUGUAGCGGUGAAAUGCGUAGAUAUCAGGAGGAACACCUGCGGUGUAGACGGCUUUCUGGACCAUUGUUGACGCUGAGACACGAAAGCGUGGGUAGCAAACAGG
rnacentral:rRNA from 1 species